UACGGGGGGGGCAAGCGUUGUUCGGAAUUACUGGGCGUAAAGGGCGCGUAGGCGGUUCGCUAAGUUGGAUGUGAAAACUCUGGGCUCAACCCAGAGCCUGCAUCCAAAACUGGCGGGCUAGAGUUCUGGAGGGGGUAGCGGAAUUCCUGGUGUAGCGGUGAAAUGCGUAGAUAUCAGGAGGAACACCGGUGGCGAAGGCGGCUACCUGGACAGAAACUGACGCUGAGGCGCGAAAGCAUGGGGAGCGAACAGG
rnacentral:rRNA from 1 species